rnacentral:lncRNA from 10 species
GGCGCACGGUGUGGGACUGGCAAGCAGCUCCACCUGAAGCCCCCGUGCAGAAUCCACUGCGUGAAGCCAGCUGGGCUCCUGACUGGUGGGGACUUGGAGAAACUUUUUGUCUAGCUAAGGGAUUGUAAAUACACCAAUCGGCACUCUGUACUAGCUCAAGAUUUGUAAACACACCAAUCAGCACCCUGUGUCUAGCUCAGGGUUUGUGAAUGCACCAAUCAACACUCUGUAUCUAGCUAAUCUGGUGGGGACGUGGAGAACCUUUGUGUCUAGCUCAGGGAUUGUAAACGCACCAUUCAGCACCCUGUCAAAACAGACCACUCCUCUCUCUGUAAAAUGGACCAAUCAGCAGGAUGUGGGUGGGGCCAGAUAAUAGAAUAAAAGCAGGCUGCCCCAGCUGGCAGUGGCAAUCCUCUCCGGUCCCCUUCCGGGCUGUGGGAGCUUUGUUCUUUUGCUCUUUGCAAUAAAUCUUGCUGCUGCUCGCUCUUUGGGUCCACAUUGCCUUUGUGAGCUGUAACACUCACGGCGAAGGUCUGCAGCUUCACUCCUAAAGCCAGAGAGACCACAAACCCACCGGGAGGAACGAACAACUCCAGACGCGCGGCCUUAAGAGCUGUAACACUCACCGCGAAAGUCUGCAGCUUCACUCCUAAAGCCAGCGAGACCACGAACCCACCAGGAGGAACGAACAAUUCCAGAUGCGCCGCCUUAGGAGCUGUAACACUCACCGCGAAGAUCUGCAGCUUCACUCCUGAGCCGGCGAGACCACGAACCCCACCAGAAGGAAGAAACUCCGGACACGCCGCCUUUAAGAACUAUAACACUCACGGCGAGGGUCCACGGCUUCAUUCUUGAAGUCAGUGAAACCAAGAACCCACCAAUUCCGGACACAGCAGGAUCCCACCCACAGAACCGCCAGGUGCACAGCUGCAUAUCCUCAGGGGAAAACUCCCCUCCCCUGCCACCUUACUGAUAGGCUUCACUUCCCAGAGAACUUUCCCAAUCCUGUGCAAUGCCUGAGUGGUACAUUGUAUUCUAUGAGAAUGGCGCCCCCGCCUCCAGAGUUGUGCAACAAGACUUCCAUGAAUCAAAGCCCAUCGCUGGCUGCCUCCUCUAGCCCUGCAUAGCCCAGAAGCUACAACCUCAGCCCAGAUUAGCAGGCUGAGGGGUCAGGAGGCUGUCACUGGAGCUGUUGAGCUCAUGAACACGCCGAAGUUGCUGCGCUCCAGAAAUGUGGAAGUUGGAAUGAAGAGCCACCACUGCUGCCACCAACAUGAAGCUUGACCAAGCAAGCCAAGAAAAGAUGGCCAAGAGCCUCUGCCUUCCUUCUGCCUUCUGCAACGCAAUGGUGAGCUGCACAUCCACAACUUGAAGGGAGUCUGGGAAAUGCAGAGUUAAACUUUCUAGCCUCUCUAAGCUUUCAACUGUUACAGAAAGGCAACCCAGGAGGAGACUGGAAUAAAUGCUGAGUGCCAAUUUCCAACACAAGUAGUCAUUAUAAUUGGGGUGAGUGUUAUCUUGCCCUGGCUCAGGGGUAAUCUUGUGUUGGUUCUGUUCAUCCCCACCAAAAUCAAGUGCAGGGCUUAUUCUCCCUUCCCUAACCAUCAGGUCACUAGGGGUCCAGGGCCUCACCUUCCUUCUCAAGAGUUAAUGAGCAUUCCAGGAUGUUGUAAGGAAGGACUGUCCAUAUGGAAUAGGGAGGACACAAACCCAACAUUUUGCUCUGACUGUUAGCCAAUAAACAAUGUCCUGGUUGUUGCUUGCUGUCAGGCAUAAGUCCUCACUAGACACCUACCAGAAGGCAACUAACCCAAUGGUCUGGCAUAGGCAAAGGGGCUUACUAAAAUGUAGGCUGGCACUCACUUCUAGCCCUCUCCUCCUGUCCCCACCACCUCUCUGUCUUAUCACUUCCCUUCUAUCUCCCCUCCUCCCUCAGCCUAGAGAAUAUUUUUCUAACUUAGGUAAGGAGCUUUGCUGUUAUUCCUGAUGUUUUCUCCUAAAUCUUUUACCAGUUUGUUCUCUCCAGUUCACUAAGGAUCUAGACCAGUGGUUUUCAAUCUGCAGCCUACAUCUGAGUCACCUGGAGGGCCUGUUAAAACACAGAACGUGGAGCCCAACCCCCAGAGGUGCUGAUUCAGUAGGUCUGGGGUAGGGCCCAAGAAUUUCCCUUUCUAACGAGUAUCCAGGUGAUGCUGAUGUGGUCUGGAGACCAUACUUUGAGAACCACCGGCCCAGGCUUUUGAAACUGAAAAACUUUGCUUUCUGCUUGUAAGACCCAUCUCUUAGAUAGGAGCAAAGAAUGGUUUGUCUGUUCAAAUGGGGAGAUGGAAUAGAAGAAAAAAAAUCUAGAAGAAAAAAAUCAAAAUCAAUGUUUUAAAAAUAGUAUUCUAGCAUUCAGUAGUAAUAAUAUAACCCCUUUGCUAUGCCUUUAAUAUCUGGAAGAGAGAAGCUUGAGUACUUGCAAAAUCUUGCCCCUGGAUGGUGCAAAAUAAUGUCUCAUUUUCCUCUUGAGUCUUUUGUCUUUGCCAAAUCUAUCUUAGAGGACAAAAAGGAGCAAGUCCUUCCUCCCUGCUUUCCUCUGUCUCCUCUUCUCUUUCCUCAUGAUGCUUCGGUCUCUUCUGUUAUCCCUUGGCUCACCCCUCAGUCUUGAUUUUUCUCACUCUGUGUUCCUAGCUGUCAGUCACGUGGACCUAAUCCAGUGUUCUCCCAAGUAGAGGGGCUUAAGCUACUACUUUCAGGCUGUGCUGAGUGAUAUACAUACAAUGCCUCAUUGACAAUCCUGAAGGAUGGUAUUUUGCUUCUCAUUUCACAGAUGAGGAAACAGAUGCUCAGAGAGAUCACACUGCUAGGAAUUGGUGAAUCCAGAAUUUGAGUCCAGUUUGUUUAGCUCCCAGUCCCAGGUCCUUCCCACAUGUUCAUGAUCUUGUGUCCUUUUGCAUCCCCAGCCCACAGGACAAAAACCUUGUCAUGCUUGGGGUCAGGUUCUGGCCCCAGCUGAGGGCUGAGGGGAGUGGGUGGACACAGGGCAGGGAGCUGGAAGAACACCUGAGAGACAGCAUGUAAGUGAGACAUGGCUUUAUUCAGCAGCCCCUUUACAGGGUCAGUGUUACAUUUAUACACUACACAGACAAUAGUGGCUGAGAGCCAGGUGGUGAGCUUCUCUAUGUUAUGUCUACAUGGCUAUGAUUGUAUAAGACACGAGACUGCACUUGCGCCCCAAUACUGCUGAGUCAUUUAGGCUGUUUACCUUGACCUAUGCCUGCUGCUCUAUGCCUGCUUGGCUGCAGCACAGCCAUGUUCCUUACAGACCUUCAGAUGGAGAUUUGCAAUGAGUGCACUAAAAGAGACUCCAUGUCAGAUGCCAAUCUCUGGGCCAAAUCUUUGUGGGAUACUUUACUCAUAGUAGGAACUGCAGGACCACUACUUCCACUGGAGCAUUUGUGUGUGUGUGUGUGUGUUUGUGUGUGUGUGUGUGCGUGUGUGUGUUUUCAUGUGUGGGACAUUCUUUUUGAAAAUGAACAUGGUGGGAAAUUAUGGUCUCACCCUCAAAAUCCAACCAAAUUCUCAGCAAACCCCAGAUUGUGUAGGUUGUAGGAAAGAAGCAUGUUAGUUUUGGCAGAAAUACUCUUAGUCUGGCAGUAAAUUUCUUAAAACAUAAAAAUGCUUUUUAACAUCCUGUUUUUGUCCUCCUUUUGUUGAUUUUUGAGCAUUUCUUCCCAAGCAAGGAAUUAUGUAGCAAGAUUUGAAAAUUACCAAACUUUAUUUUGUUAGUUUUCUUUGGUUCCUUUUCUAUGUUUCUGUAUACGUUAUCUGCUUUAAACUUUAAACUCAAGGAUUAAAGUGACUCUAAAGCACUUCGGAGUGAUCCAGGAACCACAUGGGGCUGGAUAGCAGUUUCCUAGAGCAAAAUGACAAGCCCUGAAAAGCUUACUGUAGGCCAUCGAGUUCAUACAUGGCCCCCUGUCAGUGGGUAGAUAAGCUGUGAACCUAGGAAUAUGGAUGCCUGUGAUAACUGGUCCUCACUCUUCUUCCUAGACAAAGUUUCAGAUCUCUGUGUCUUUCUGGGCAUCUUCGAAAACUUCCAUUCCCCAUUUGCCAUGUAAGCCAGACUCAUGUAGAAGUUAGGAUUUGUAGACCCUGGAGGUAAACAGCUUCCUCCAGAACCUUGUUCUGCCUCUUAGUAGCUGUGUAAUCUUGGGCAAGUUACUUAACCUCUCUAGGGCUCAGUUUCCUUACCUGUAAAAUGGAAAUAAAGCACAUUCUUCCAGGCCAGGCAUGGUGGCUCAUGCCUGUAAUCCCAGUGCUUUGGGAGGCCGAGAAGGGCAGAUCAUGAGCUCAGGAGUUCAAAACCAGCCUGGCCAACAUGGUGAAACCUCGUCUCUAAAAAAAAGCAAAAAUUAGCUGGGUGCAGUGGUGCACACCUGUAGUCCCAGCUAUUCAGGAGGCUGAGGCAUGAGAAUUGCUUGAACCUGCUUGCAGUGAGCCGAGAUCCCGCCACUGCACUCCAGCCUGGGCGACAGAGUGAGACUCCAUCUCAAAAAAAAAAAAAAAAAAAAAGCACAUACAUUCUUCCUAGGGUUGUAGUGUGGCUCAAAUAGAUGCUUACUUAAAGCAGUCUCUGGUGUAUAACAAAUGCUCAAUUAAAGUUGCUAUUCUUGGCUGGGCACGGUGGCUCAUGCCUGUAAUCCCAGCACUUUGGGAGGCCGAGGUGGGUGGAUCACCUUAAGUCAGGAGUUCAAGACCAGCCUGGCCAACAUGGUGAAACCCUAUCUCUACUAAAAACACACAAAAAAAUUAGCCAGGCAUGGUGUUGCA